rnacentral:rRNA from 1 species
CCUACGGGUGGCAGCAGUGAGGAAUAUUGGUCAAUGGACGAGAGUCUGAACCAGCCAAGCAGCGUGAAGGACGACUGCCCUAUGGGUUGUAAACUUCUUUUAUAUGGGAAUAAAAUGUUCCACGUGUGGGAUUUUGUAUGUACCAUAUGAAUAAGGAUCGGCUAACUCCGUGCCAGCAGCCGCGGUAAUACGGAGGAUCCGAGCGUUAUCCGGAUUUAUUGGGUUUAAAGGGUGCGUAGGUGGAUUGUUAAGUCAGUGGUGAAAGUUUGCGGCUCAACCGUAGAAUUGCAGUUGAAACUGGCAGUCUUGAGUACAGUAGAGGUAGGCGGAAUGCGUGGUGUAGCGGUGAAAUGCUUAGAGAUCACGAAGAACUCCGAUUGCGAAGGCAGUUCACUGGACUGCAACUGACGCUGAGGCUCGAAAGUGUGGGUAUCAAACAGGAUUAGAUACCCGGGUAGUC